CCUCUCCUAUAAAGGAGAGGUCUUUCCACACACUCUACACCUUUUUACACACUUUAAAAGAGACACAUAUCUUUGAGAAAAAAUCAGCAACUGAAUACUUAUAAGUAAGCUGAAAUUUCAGAGCUUUGUGAGUAUUUUCGAGUGUAAAAUCUUUCACAAAAAUAUAAAGAUUUUUUGGGUAAUUUGUGGAAUCACUAGCUUCUAGUUUCAAGUGUCUUUGCUGGAUGUUUUCUGAGUCAUUUUCUUGGAUUACAAGCUGUUGUUUGCUGCUAUCAUUGUUGCUGAAAUUUUAGCCCCUCGAUUGCUGAUACUUUUUCUUUCUGCUAUCCAGGGCGAGGAUAAGACUGCUAUAAAGUGCAACGGGAGGGAGGCAAUACUAAUUUUAACCUAAGCACAUAUGAAGGAGAAUUAAGUUCGAAUGCUGAUAAUGGAGGUAGUAUAAAUAAGGCUUUACCACAAAUUUUGUUUAUAAUUGUUUACCAUUUUUAGUUCUGUAAUUAUCAUGUUUAACGAAUACGUUGGUUUUCCUUGAAGUCUGAUCCAAGCUAACUAAUUUAAGACUCAAAUGCAUAAAAUGAGUUUGAGUUCAUCUAAUCCAAAAGCUUACAAGUAAAUGAAUAUCAAAUUAGCUACUUGAUACAAUCGGUAAAUAAUAUAGGGAAUAAUCGAUACAUCAAUUUAUAAGUUAUACUAAACAAUAUGCAUGCUUUACCUUUUGUCAUACUGGCACACAAAACAGAGACAUGUAUUUCGCAGAUGGUCAAUUAAGGUUGCAAAUGAGUUUGGUUUACCUUUAUAUCUGCGGAAUUCUAUGAAGUCUAUGUACUCUCUUAAUCAAUUAAAUAAGGACAAAUUAUUGUUACCUUUUU